rnacentral:rRNA from 1 species
AGGCGAACCGGGGGAACUGAAACAUCUAAGUACCCCGAGGAAAAGAAAUCAACCGAGAUUCCCCCAGUAGCGGCGAGCGAACGGGGAGCAGCCCAGAGUCUGAAUCAGCUUGUGUGUUAGUGGAACGGUCUGGAAAGUCCGACGGUACAGGGUGAUAGUCCCGUACACCAAAAUGCACAGGCUGUGAACUCGAAGAGUAGGGCGGGACACGUGGUAUCCUGUCUGAAUAUGGGGGGACCAUCCUCCAAGGCUAAAUACUCCUGACUGACCGAUAGUGAACCAGUACCGUGAGGGAAAGGCGAAAAGAACCCCGGCGAGGGGAGUGAAAAAGAACCUGAAACCGUGUACGUACAAGCAGUGGGAGCACCUUCGGGUGUGACUGCGUACCUUUUGUAUAAUGGGUCAGCGACUUAUAUUCUGUAGCAAGGUUAACCGUAUAGGGGAGCCGCAGGGAAACCGAGUCUUAACUGGGCGUUAAGUUGCAGGGUAUAGACCCGAAACCCGGUGAUCUAGCCAUGGGCAGGUUGAAGGUUGGGUAACACUAACUGGAGGACCGAACCGACUAAUGUUGAAAAAUUAGCGGAUGACUUGUGGCUGGGGGUGAAAGGCCAAUCAAACCGGGAGAUAGCUGGUUCUCCCCGAAAGCU